rnacentral:lncRNA from 1 species
GUUCUGCUUUCAGCAGCUACUUUUCUGGUUUGAAGGGGGGAAGGAAAAAAAAACUGGGGAGAACUAGGCGGCUUUCUGAUCAGAGUUCAGAUAAAAAGGGUCACAGUAAUUUGUGGGCACUGACUAAAAUAACCCAAUGGAUUUGAGAGUUACCGCAAAAGAAGCAAACAGACAAACUAAAGAGGGACUUCAGCCAUGAACUUGGUGAUGAGCCAGAGAAGGUAACUUUUCAUCCCCUACAAGACCUCCCAGAGGCCUUUAUUCUUCUUACAGCGAUUCUGCUGUGAAUUCGUACGGAAUGGGCUCCAGCAGCUCAGGCUACUUUCCACUGGGUCUCACAAAGUGUGCUUCUCGAAGCAGGCUGGGGCUUCCCUUGAACCCAGAUUCCCACUUAUGUACCUAAAGGAGCAACUCCAUGUUUUCCAAAAGGCCUGAAAAACAUAUAGCAGAUUCCAUGUUGCAGCUAACCUUAAAGAAAUCAUCACUUGGAACUGAUUCAGAAUCCCAUAUCACAUUUUGUUAUUACUUUUGCCUGGUCUCCUGCUGUCUGGAACAGUUUUUCAGUCUUCCUUCAUUUUCAAGAGUGUGAAAGGAUCCCAAGACCAAAAGUCUGGGAACUGCUGGUUUAGAGUCACAAUACUGACUGCUCAAAAUGACUUUUUAAAGAAGAAAGCCUUAAAAACCCUUGAGUGAAUGGUUGGUAUUUACAGACAAGCAAAUGUAUGGAAGAGAAACGAGAGACCCAGCCUGAAUCUGUUGAAUGAACGAAAGGGGAAAUGCCCUAAGGAGUCAGAUGGAAGAAGUUUUUCUGGGAAGAGCAGAACACAGGAGUUGGGGUGCAGACCUCCUGGAUCACCAGCAGAAGGAAAAGAGCAGUGAGACGUUAAAGUGAUUGAGACAAAAAUGGAAGUAAAACAGCUUAAGGCUUUCUGAGAUCGAGUUCCUGGCAGUGUCAUCAGCAGAUGGUUUCUUCUGAAGUUCAGGGGAAGAGAAGAUGCUCGAAGAACUCUCCAGGGACUGAGUGGGUGGUACAGAGCUAGUGCUGUAGAUGCCAUGUAUACAGGCAAAUUCCCCAAUGAGUGUUUUCCAAUAUCAAGUUUAACUGGCAUUUAAGAUAUAUGCCAAAGGUAGGUAAAUUAUUUUGGCCUGUGCUUAUAGGUUUAUUUCCCUGGAUGAAGCUUUCUGUCUCUGUCCUAGUGCACUGUAGCAGAUGCAGGGUCUUUCCAUACAAUACAUUAAAAGCUGCAUCUCAUUUUAAAUAUAUUAUAGAAACCCUGAUCAUACAAUACAUACAAGAUUUUUAAGAUCAGCCUUCAGUCGAUUUUUUUGCUUUAUUUUUGUUCUGGAGGUCAAAAUGAGUGGUUAACUGUCUAAGUUGAUUGCAGAGAAAGUUACUACUCAUUCUAAACGUAGGUUUUUAGAAAAGUGUUCUUGGCAGUUGCUACCAUUGGCUUUUUCCAACUUACAUGGGAAUCAAGAUUCAGAACUGGUACACCAAUGGGAAGAGCCUGGAAAAUAGACUAUUGAUCAAGAUGAAUCUGGUCCAGAUACUUUAAGACCUUUUCAGUGUGUUUUUAAGAUUAUAAGUUUGAACUAACAGAAACUUCAAUGCUGUUUUUUCACAAGUCAAUGUGUAGUGUACUGUUAUUCUUUUUUUUCCUGUAAUAUCUUAAUAAUAUUCCUGGCUGUAAGAAAAAGUUAACACUAUACCUAUGUUUUGACUUACUUUAUAGAAGACCCAAACAAUAUUUAACAAAAGGAUUUUUCUCAAAUACUAUUUUGAAAUCACUAUAUUAGACACUAUCUUAAAUUUAUUUCUCAAUUUGCUUCUUUUUGAAACUUCCACAUUUUGGUGUUCUUUUCAGCAUCACUCAUUUUCUUUCAUAAUAAAGAUACCCAAUAACAAUAUCAUAAUAAAGAUUUGAUAACAAAUCUCCAGUUUUGGAGUGUUACAUUUCAUAUCUACAUGCUUACAGAGAAUUUAGUAUGAAUAUUCCCUGGCCUUAGUUCCUCUAAGCCUAGGAUACUUGUAGUCAUUUGGCAAAUAAUUUAAUCCAUGGCAAACAUGAGUCUUAAUACAAAAAUUAUUGAGUAGGCAAAAAAUAAUUGAACAUAUUUUGGACUGAUUACCAGUGCAUUAAAAAAGUAGAGGUUUAAGGAUGAGAAUAAUAAGUUUUUUUGUUUUUACUUAAAUUUAUAUAAAAGGAGUGAAAAUACAGUAGCCUAUAGUACUUAAGAGUGUGGGUAUAUUUUCAGCACUUAAUAAUUACUAGUUGAAUUGCAUAAUAUGGGACUAUAACUGAUAUGGUUUGGCUCUGUGUCCCCGCCCAAAUCUCAUGUUGAAUUAUAAUUUCCAAUAUUGGAGGAGGUACCUAGUGGGAGGUGACUGGAUCAUUGGGGGAAAUUUCCCCCUUGCUGUCCUCAUGAUAGUGAGUGAGUUCUCACAAGAUCUGAUGGUUUAAAAGUGUGUGGCAUUUCCCCCUUUACUCUUUCUCUCUCCUGCUGGCCAUGAGAAUAAGUGCUUGCUUCCCAUUCACCUUCUGCCAUGCUUGUGUUUCCUGAGGCUUCCCAGCCAUGCUUCUUGUUCAAGCUGCAGAACUGUGAGUCAAUUAAACCUCAUUUCUUCAUAAAUUACCCAGUCUCAGCUCUUUAUGGGAGUGUGAGAAUGGACUAAUAAAAUAUCUCUAGAAUUAUGUUUUUGGAGAUAAUUUAAAGAUAAACAAAUAUUGGAAACCUCAUUUGAUCACACAGAGAACAGUAAAUGGAAGUUCUACUUUUUCUCCAGGGCCUUUCUCAUGCUUAUGCAGGGAUUAUUCACCCAGAUAUCCUGAAAUAAGACAUCCAAUUAAGGUACCUGCUAUCUCAUGUAACACAGAAGAAAGUUGAGCAUAGAGGUUAAACAUUACCUAAUAUUGUUGGAAAAGCUUCGAAGCGUUCAUUUUCAAAGCAGCUAAUGUAAACCAUGAUAAUCACUAGUAGCACUAUGCCAUUUUAAAUACUUCAAUAUUUUGUAGUUAUUAGAUUCUAAGUAAGUAUAAAAUGUAGUGAAUACAAAUUUUAUUUGCCUAAACAGUGUUAGACAAUAUAAAUUAACGAGUUAUUUUUUAUUCUGUUUAAUAUUUUCAAGCCAAUAAACACUUUACUAAAGUA